GGUUAGAAUGCCAGCCUGUCACGCUGGAGGUCGAGGGUUCGAGUCCCUUCCAGGUCGCCA
rnacentral:tRNA from 1 species